AGACUCUUUCAGUACCUAAGGCCUCCUACACAAAGAUGAUCCUUGUGGGCCAGCAGCAUGGCUGUCACCUAGGGAUUUGGAAAUGCAGACUCCUGGUUCGAAUUCGACAAUCAAAAAGAUUCAAAAGCUGGUGAAGUCUUGCUUCCCAGGGGCUGUCAAGUCCUUUGAAGGAUUUAGCAGAUCUACACAACAACUUCCACACUUCUCCAGGGACAAUUCAAAUUUCACAGCACUUCCUCAAAGGAACCUGUUCACCUGGAAUUUAGGAGUCACAGGUACCACUCUGGGUACAGAAAAGGAGGAGCAUCUUGCAAUUUGCACAUCACACGAAUCUGCAUCUCCAUCUAUCCAUCUAUCUGAAAUCAUCAUAAGGAAAAAGAGGCGGAUCAGACCAACUAUAGCUUGGUCUGUGCUAUAGUUUGUGGCUCAGAGUUCAUCUUUUCUUAAUCCUCUUCAACUUUAUGUGAAUGGGAACUUUGAACCCUGUAGGACGCUACUUGGUAUAUCUAGGAAAUAUAGCAAUUCAGGUUACAAUUU
ensembl:antisense 1700071M16Rik RIKEN cDNA 1700071M16 gene